rnacentral:rRNA from 1 species
UAAUACGUAGGUGGCAAGCGUUGUCCGGAUUUAUUGGGUUUAAAGGGUGCGUAGGCGGUAAUUUAAGUCAGUGGUGAAAUACUUCAGCUUAACUGGAGAGGUGCCAUUGAUACUGGAUUACUUGAGUACUGAUGAGGUAGGCGGAAUGGACGGUGUAGCGGUGAAAUGCUUAGAUAUCGUCCAGAACACCGAUAGCGAAGGCAGCUUACUAAGGAGUAACUGACGCUGAGGCACGAAAGUGUGGGGAUCAAACAGGAUUAGAUACCCUGGUAGUCCACACUGUAAACGAUGAUUACUCGAUGUUAGCGAUACACAGCUAGCGUCUUAGCAAAAGCGAUAAGUAAUCCACCUGGGGAGUACGCCGGCAACGGUG